rnacentral:rRNA from 1 species
AUUGAACGCUGGCGGCAGGCUUAACACAUGCAAGUCGAGCGGGGUGAUGGUGCUUGCACUAUCACUUAGCGGCGGACGGGUGAGUAAUGCUUAGGAAUCUGCCUAUUAGUGGGGGACAACAUCUCGAAAGGGAUGCUAAUACCGCAUACGUCCUACGGGAGAAAGCAGGGGAUCACUUGUGACCUUGCGCUAAUAGAUGAGCCUAAGUCGGAUUAGCUAGUUGGUGGGGUAAAGGCCUACCAAGGCGACGAUCUGUAGCGGGUCUGAGAGGAUGAUCCACCACAAUGGGACUGGGACACGGGCCAGACGCCUACGGGAGGCAGCAGUGGGGAAUAUUGAACAAUGGGGGGAACCCUGAUCCCGCCCUGCCGCGUGUGUGAAGAAGGCCUUAUGGUUGUAAAGCACUUUAAGCGAGGAGGAGGCUCUUUUGGUUAAUACCCAAGAUGAGUGGACGUUACUCGCAGAAUAAGCACCGGCUAACUCUGUGCCAGCCGCCGCGGUAA